AUAGACCCGAAACCCGGUGAUCUAGCCAUGGGCAGGUUGAAGGUUGGGUAACACUAACUGGAGGACCGAACCGACUAAUGUUGAAAAAUUAGCGGAUGACCUGUGGCUGGGGGUGAAAGGCCAAUCAAACCGGGAGAUAGCUGGUUCUCCCCGAAAGCUAUUUAGGUAGCGCCUCGUGAAUUCAUCUCCGGGGGUAGAGCACUGUUUCGGCUAGGGGGCCAUCCCGGCUUACCAACCCGAUGCAAACUGCGAAUACCGGAGAAUGUUAUCACGGGAGACACACGGCGGGUGCUAACGUCCGUCGUGAAGAGGGAAACAACCCAGACCGCCAGCUAAGGUCCCAAAGUCAUGGUUAAGUGGGAAACGAUGUGGGAAGGCCCAGACAGCCAGGAUGUUGGCUUAGAAGCAGCCAUCAUUUAAAGAAAGCGUAAUAGCUCACUGGUCGAGUCGGCCUGCGCGGAAGAUGUAACGGGGCUAAACCAUGCACCGAAGCUGCGGCAGCGACACUCAGGUGUUGUUGGGUAGGGGAGCGUUCUGUAAGCCUGUGAAGGUGUGUCGUGAGGCAUGCUGGAGGUAUCAGAAGUGCGAAUGCUGACAUAAGUAACGAUAAAGCGGGUGAAAAGCCCGCUCGCCGGAAGACCAAGGGUUCCUGUCCAACGUUAAUCGGGGCAGGGUGAGUCGACCCCUAAGGCGAGGCCGAAAGGCGUAGUCGAUGGGAAACGGGUUAAUAUUCCCGUACUUGGUGUUACUGCGAAGGGGGGACGGAGAAGGCUAUGUUGGCCGGGCGACGGUUGUCCCGGUUUAAGCGUGUAGGUGUGUGUUCCAGGUAAAUCCGGUUCACUUUAACACUGAGGCGUGAUGACGAGGCACUACGGUGCUGAAGCAACAAAUGCCCUGCUUCCAGGAAAAGCCUCUAAGCAUCAGGUAACAUCAAAUCGUACCCCAAACCGACACAGGUGGUCAGGUAGAGAAUACCAAGGCGCUUGAGAGAACUCGGGUGAAGGAACUAGGCAAAAUGGUGCCGUAACUUCGGGAGAAGGCACGCUGACACGUAGGUGAAGUGAUUUACUCAUGGAGCUGAAGUCAGUCGAAGAUACCAGCUGGCUGCAACUGUUUAUUAAAAACACAGCACUGUGCAAACACGAAAGUGGACGUAUACGGUGUGACGCCUGCCCGGUGCCGGAAGGUUAAUUGAUGGGGUCAGCGCAAGCGAAGCUCCUGAUCGAAGCCCCGGUAAACGGCGGCCGUAACUAUAACGGUCCUAAGGUAGCGAAAUUCCUUGUCGGGUAAGUUCCGACCUGCACGAAUGGCGUAAUGAUGGCCAGGCUGUCUCCACCCGAGACUCAGUGAAAUUGAACUCGCUGUGAAGAUGCAGUGUACCCGCGGCAAGACGGAAAGACCCCGUGAACCUUUACUAUAGCUUGACACUGAACAUUGAGCCUUGAUGUGUAGGAUAGGUGGGAGGCUUUGAAGCGUGGACGCCAGUCUGCGUGGAGCCGACCUUGAAAUACCACCCUUUAAUGUUUGAUGUUCUAACGUGGACCCGU
rnacentral:rRNA from 1 species